GUUCACACUAAAUGACCAAAUUGAAGCUCGAAUCAAGACUCAAAUCACUGCAUGAACACAUAAAAACGAUCACCUAGUCAUGGGGAUCACAAGUUUGACGAUUAACAAGCUAGGUGAAAGCUUGGGAACGAAGCGGGUCAAACGAAGCAAGAAUGACGGAAAAGCAUAAUUUGGAUGUAAGGAGUAAAUGUCAAAUGAGUAUUAGCAACAUUAUGGAUUUGCGGUUAUAAAAGCAAGGUAUUAAAAAUGGAUCAAUAUAUUGAUCCGCGCCAGGUAUGUGAAAAAGGGUAACACUCAUUUAGAAUAUGCGGUUCGAUGAGUGU